GGCCUUGACAUACUAAGAACUUUCCAGAGAUGGAUUGGUGCCUUCGGGAACUUAGAUACAGGUGCUGCAUGGCUGUCGUCAGCUCGUGUCGUGAGAUGUUGGGUUAAGUCCGCAACGAGCGCAACCCUUUUCCUUAUUUGCCAGCGGGUCAUGCCGGGAACUUUAAGGAUACUGCCAGUAACAAACUGGAGGAAGGCGGGGACGACGUCAAGUCAUCAUGGCCCUUACGGCCAGGGCUACACACGUGCUACAAUGGUCGGUACAAAGGGUUGCUACCUCGCGAGAGGAUGCUAAUCUCAAAAAGCCGAUCGUAGUCCGGAUCGCAGUCUGCAACUCGACUGCGUGAAGUCGGAAUCGCUAGUAAUCGCGGAUCAGAAUGCCGCGGUGAAUACGUUCCCGGGCCUUGUACACACCGCCCGUCACACCAUGGGAGUUUGUUGCACCAGAAGUAGGUAGUCUAACCGCAAGGAGGACGCUUACCACGGUGUGGCCGAUGACUGGGGUGAAGUCGUAACAAGGUAAGCGUAGAUGA
rnacentral:rRNA from 1 species